UUGGUUAGAACUCACUACAGGUUGACGUCGCAAUGGCGUCAACACACCGCUCUGCACCACGAAACCGCCCUGGCGUGUUCGGAGCGGAGCGGAGCUCGCCACGCCGGCAGCGAGCACCAUGGCAGAUGCAUUCUGCCCGGCCUCGACGAGAGGUCGACGGGAGAUAUAACAGUCAAC
rfam:Pseudomonas batumici strain TCM B-321 Contig_18, whole genome shotgun sequence.